rnacentral:lncRNA from 1 species
AUACCGUAAAGGUCUAUUUGGAGAGCUAACGAAACCUUUUUUGUUUCUAGAAAGUGAAGCCUCGAAGAAUCUUCUGGGUUGGUGGAGAAAAGAAAUUCUCUCUUAAAUCAGUGGUUCUCAACGAAGUAGGGACAGACACGGCUCCAGUCAGGUUCCACCCCAGAGCACAGCCAGAGCAGAGAAGCAUGGGCAGGUUUCUGCCCGGGAGGAAGUGAGACCGGAUCAGGAUGACAGCUCAGGAAGGGGUGUCUCAGCAAACCCGCAAGAUCAGGGAUGCAGGCGGGGGAGCAGCCUAAGAGGGGUUUUGAGCUGUAACCCAGGGACAGAAGCGGAUGGCACGAUGGAGAGGUGGGACCCCUGGGCAGAAGAGGGGACCAAGAGGAACCAGAGCUGGAGGUCCUGGCCCUGGGGCUGAGGCCCUGUCAGCUACACGGAAGAGCUGGGCCCCCCACGUGGAGGCCCCCCACGCAGCCCCUCUCACCCGUGACACGCGAGUCUGACUCCCACGCUUGGAUCAGCAGGCUUGCUUGAGGCUCAAACAGCAACCAGAACCCCACGUCUCAGAUGGGCCCUCGGAGGUGGCCUGGCCCAGCCCCCGCUGGACAGACAGGAACACAGGGCCCCAGAGAGGACACCCCCGGGACUGCGGCCGGCAAGAUGGAGCAGGAGGGAGACCCCUGGGACUAUGCUGAAUUCCUGCAGCCCCGGAGAGCUCACAGGGUGUGCUCCCAUCCUCCCGACUGUGGCCGGCUGAUGUCUGGCCCAUGAACCUGGCCCAUGACGUCCUUGGUCAAGGCCUUCGGGGGCACCUUGGCAAACCCAAUCUGGAGGCUCAGAUUACACAUUUAGAGAGCAAGUCUUCACUUUUCUCAGGGUCGUCCGUCAGCAAGAUGAGGCACGGAGUGGGCGGGAGGGAGCCCAGCGCUGCGGACGUCUGGGUCUGAGUUCUGCCCACGGUCACUGGCGGGUGGCUCUUCCGCUCUGUGGGCCCCUGUCUGAGCUGGUCAAAUGGGAGCAAUGAGGGAGUCAGGAGACUAGGCAAGCACCCUGGGACUAAGAGUCCCACCUCACGUGGGACCCUUUGCUGCUGUCUGUGAGUCCCAGAGCCACGUUCCUGGGGGGACCCGGGCUUCCCGGGUGCCCCAACCUCUGAGCCAGGCCCCCAGAGCCUCAGCCCGUCUGCACAGCUCCCCGCUCCAUCCCCAGGGCCUUGGGGCGUCGGGCCCAUGACAGGCCCCCACAAGUCAUUGGUGAACAAAUGAAUGGAAGACACGGUGAAGGAAUGAAGGAACCCUCCCUCAUGAGUCCGGAAGAAGAGCGUGUAUGCUGGGUGGGACCCCAGCUCAC